GGAGCGGCCGAUUAUUGGUUACGGUGCUCGCUUUGUAAGCGAAUGGUUCUGGGUUCGAUUCCCAUCUGCUCUA
rnacentral:tRNA from 1 species